rnacentral:rRNA from 1 species
AUUGAACGCUGGCGGCAGGCCUAACACAUGCAAGUCGAGCGGAUGAAGGGAGCUUGCUCCUGGAUUCAGCGGCGGACGGGUGAGUAAUGCCUAGGAAUCUGCCUGGUAGUGGGGGAUAACGUCCGGAAACGGGCGCUAAUACCGCAUACGUCCUGAGGGAGAAAGUGGGGGAUCUUCGGACCUCACGCUAUCAGAUGAGCCUAGGUCGGAUUAGCUAGUUGGUGGGGUAAAGGCCUACCAAGGCGACGAUCCGUAACUGGUCUGAGAGGAUGAUCAGUCACACUGGAACUGAGACACGGUCCAGACUACUACGGGAGGCAGCAGUUGGGAAUAUUGGACAAUGGGCGAAAGCCUGAUCCAGCCAUGCCGCGUGUGUGAAGAAGGUCUUCGGAUUGUAAAGAACUUUAAGUUGGGAGGAAGGGCAGUAAGUUAAUACCUUGCUGUUUUGACGUUACCAACAGAAUAAGCACCGGCUAACUUCGUG